rnacentral:rRNA from 1 species
UACGGAGGGUGCAAGCGUUAUCCGGAUUCACUGGGUUUAAAGGGUGCGUAGGUGGGUCGGUAAGUCAGUGGUGAAAUCUCCGAGCUUAACUUGGAAACUGCCAUUGAUACUAUCAGUCUUGAAUACCGUGGAGAUGAGCGGAAUAUGUCAUGUAGCGGUGAAAUGCUUAGAUAUGACAUAGAACACCAAUUGCGAAGGCAGCUCGUUACACGAAUAUUGACACUCAGGCACGAAAGCGUGGGGAUCAAACAGG